GGGGGCGUCUUACCAUGCAAGUCGUACCAAUGGUACCGUUCGGUGGGGAUUAGUGGCGAACGGGUGAGUAACACGUGGGUAAUCUGCCCUUCACUCUGGGACAAGCCCUGGAAACGGGGUCUAAUACCGGAUAUCACUUGCGCAGGCAUCUGUGCGGGUUGAAAGCUCCGGCGGUGAAGGAUGAGCCCGCGGCCUAUCAGCUUGUUGGUGAGGUAACGGCUCACCAAGGCGACGACGGGUAGCCGGCCUGAGAGGGCGACCGGCCACACUGGGACUGAGACACGGCCCAGACUCCUACGGGAGGCAGCAGUGGGGAAUAUUGCACAAUGGGCGCAAGCCUGAUGCAGCGACGCCGCGUGAGGGAUGACGGCCUUCGGGUUGUAAACCUCUUUCAGCAGGGAAGAAGCGCAAGUGACGGUACCUGCAGAAGAAGCGCCGGCUAACUACGUGCCAGCAGCCGCGGUAAUACGUAGGGCGCAAGCGUUGUCCGGAAUUAUUGGGCGUAAAGAGCUCGUAGGCGGCUUGUCACGUCGGGUGUGAAAGCCCGGGGCUUAACCCCGGGUCUGCAUUCGAUACGGGCAGGCUAGAGUGUGGUAGGGGAGAUCGGAAUUCCUGGUGUAGCGGUGAAAUGCGCAGAUAUCAGGAGGAACACCGGUGGCGAAGGCGGAUCUCUGGGCCAUUACUGACGCUGAGGAGCGAAAGCGUGGGGAGCGAACAGGAUUAGAUACCCUGGUAGUCCACGCCGUAAACGGUGGGAACUAGGUGUUGGCGACAUUCCA
rnacentral:rRNA from 1 species